GGGACACCUGAUGGGGGGGUACCGGGUUAGGAUUGUGCGCAGGGACACCUGAUGGAGGGGGUACCGGGUUAGGGUUGUGCACAGGGAGACCUUAUGGGGGUACCGGGUUAGGGUUGUGCGCAGGGACACAAUGAGGGUACUAGGUUAGGAUUGUGCGCAGGGACACCUUAUGGGGGUACCGGGUUAGGGUUGUGCGCAGGGACACCUGAUGGUGGGGUACCGGGUUAGGAUUGUGCGCAGGACACCUGAUGGUGGGGUACCGGGUUAGGAUUGUGCGCAGGGACACCUGAUGGGGAGGUACCGGGUUAGGAUUGUGCGCAGGGACACCUGAUGGGGGGGUACCGGGUUAGGAUUGUGCGCAGGGACACCUGAUGGGGGUACCGGGUUAGGGUUGUGCGCAGGAACACGAUGAGGGAACUGGGUUAGGGUUGUGCAUAAAUA